AGCGAACGCUGGCGGUAGGCCUAACACAUGCAAGUCGAACGGCAGCACAGUAAUAGCUUGCUCUUACGGGUGGCGAGUGGCGGACGGGUGAGGAAUACAUCGGAAUCUACUUUUUCGUGGGGGAUAACGUAGGGAAACUUACGCUAAUACCGCAUACGACCUACGGGUGAAAGCAGGGGAUCUUCGGACCUUGCGCGAUUGAAUGAGCCGAUGUCGGAUUAGCUAGUUGGCGGGGUAAAGGCCCACCAAGGCGACGAUCCGUAGCUGGUCUGAGAGGAUGAUCAGCCACACUGGAACUGAGACACGGUCCAGACUCCUACGGGAGGCAGCAGUGGGGAAUAGUGGACAAUGGGCGCAAGCCUGAUCCAGCCAUACCGCGUGGGUGAAGAAGGCCUUCGGGUUGUAAAGCCCUUUUGUUGGGAAAGAAAAGCAGCAGGUUAAUACCCCGCUGUUCUGACGGUACCCAAAGAAUAAGCACCGGCUAACUUCGUG
rnacentral:rRNA from 1 species